GUGCCAGCCGCCGCGGUAAUACCAGCACCCCGAGUGGUCGGGACGAUUAUUGGGCCUAAAGCAUCCGUAGCCGGUUUUACAAGUCCUCCGUUAAAUCCAACUGCUUAACAGAUGGGCCGCGGAGGAUACUAUAAGACUAGGAGGCAGGAGAGGCAAGCGGUACUCAGUGGGUAGGGGUAAAAUCCGUUGAUCCAUUGAAGACCACCAGUGGCGAAGGCGGCUUGCCAGAAUGCGCUCGACGGUGAGGGAUGAAAGCUGGGGGAGCAAACCGGAUUAGAAACCCUUGUAGUCC
rnacentral:rRNA from 1 species